rnacentral:rRNA from 1 species
UACGGGGGGAGCAAGCGUUGUUCGGAUUUACUGGGCGUAAAGGGCGCGUAGGCGGUCGUGACAAGUCACUUGUGAAAUCUCCGGGCUUAACUCGGAACGGUCAAGUGAUACUGUCGGACUAGAGUACAGAAGGGGCAACUGGAAUUCUCGGUGUAGCGGUGAAAUGCGUAGAUAUCGAGAGGAACACCGGUGGCGAAGGCGGGUCUCUGGGCAGUUACUGACGCUGAGGAGCGAAAGCGUGGGGAGCGAACAGG